rnacentral:rRNA from 1 species
AUUGAACGCUGGCGGCAUGCCUUACACAUGCAAGUCGAACGGCAGCACGGGUGCUUGCACCUGGUGGCGAGUGGCGAACGGGUGAGUAAUACAUCGGAACGUACCUUAUCGUGGGGGAUAACGCAGCGAAAGCCGUGCUAAUACCGCAUACGCCCUGAGGGGGAAAGCGGGGGAUCGAAAGACCUCGCGCGAUUAGAGCGGCCGAUGCCUGAUUAGCUUGUUGGUGGGGUAAAAGCCCACCAAGGCGACGAUCAGUAGCUGGUCUGAGAGGACGAUCAGCCACACUGGGGCUAAGACACGGCCCAGACUCCUACGGGAGGCAGCAGUGGGGAAUUUUGGACAAUGGGGGCAACCCUGAUCCAGCAAUGCCGCGUGAGUGAAGAAGGCCUUCGGGUUGUAAAGCUCUUUUGUCAGGGAAGAAACACCGGCUCUAACACAGUCCGGGAAUGACGGUACCUGAAGAAUAAGCACCGGCUAACUACGUGCCAGCCGCCGCAGUAA